GUGUCAGCCGCCGCGGUAAUACGGAGGGUGCGGGCGUUAAUCGGAAUUACUGGGCGUAAAGCGCGCGUAGGCGGUUUGCCAAGUCAGAGGUGAAAGCCCGGGGCUUAACCUCGGAAUUGCCUUUGAGACUGGCAGGCUUGAGUACGGGAGAGGUAAGUGGAAUUCCGAGUGUAGAGGUGAAAUUCGUAGAUAUUCGGAAGAACACCAGUGGCGAAGGCGGCUUACUGGACCGUUACUGACGCUGAGGCGCGAAAGCGUGGGGAGCAAACAGGAUUAGAUACCCUGUAGUCCACGCCGUAAACGAUGGGUGCUAGAUGUUGGGGGCCUUUGGCUUCCGGUGUCGCAGCUAACGCGUUAAGCACCCCGCCUGGGGAGUACGGCCGCAAGGUUAAAACUCAAAGGAAUUGACGGGG
rnacentral:rRNA from 1 species